rnacentral:rRNA from 1 species
CCUACGGGUGGCAGCAGUGGGGAAUAUUGGACAAUGGGCGAAAGCCUGAUCCAGCCAUGCCGCGUGUGUGAAGAAGGCCUUCGGGUUGUAAAGCACUUUCAGUGGGGAAGAAAGCCUUGGGGCUAAUACCCUCGAGGAAGGACAUCACCCACAGAAGAAGCACCGGCUAACUCCGUGCCAGCAGCCGCGGUAAUACGGAGGGUGCGAGCGUUAAUCGGAAUUUCUGGGCGUAAAGCGCGCGUAGGCGGUCUGAUAAGCCGGUUGUGAAAGCCCCGGGCUCAACCUGGGAACGGCAUCCGGAACUGUCAGGCUAGAGUGCAGGAGAGGAAGGUAGAAUUCCCGGUGUAGCGGUGAAAUGCGUAGAGAUCGGGAGGAAUACCAGUGGCGAAGGCGGCCUUCUGGACUGACACUGACGCUGAGGUGCGAAAGCGUGGGUAGCAAACAGGAUUAGAUACCCCGGUAGUC